ensembl:lncRNA
CGAUGGCUGCCGGCGCUGGCUGGCUGGCUCCCUCAUGCCAUGCUGGGCCAGCGCGGCUCCGCCAGACGAGUGUUUACCCAUAUCCGGGUUAGAGAGGAAAGGAGGAAAGGAGGAGAGAGAGAGGGAGAGAGAGGGGGGGGAGGAAAAAAAAAAAAAGUUUCAUUUAAACCUGAACAAAAAAAAAAAAAUUAAAUCCAAAAACCAACUUCCCCCCCCCCAAAAAAAAAAAAAACAAAAAAACAAAAAACCAACUUCCAACAUGAACUCACACAGCGGGAACGGGCACAGACCGUAAGCCGUUCUUACCAUUUCUCAUCUCAAAGCACCGAACUCGGGGAGGGAAAUUUCCGCGGCUGGGUGCGCGCGGGGCGGCCCGCAGGGGAAACGCGGGGCCCGGCCACGUCCCGGCCCCGGCCGCUGCUCUUUCGGCCGCUCUCCCUCCCCACGCCCCUGCUCGCCCCCUUUUUUUUUUUUUUUUUUUUUUUGAGCCUGGGGGUCGAUUCUUUUUUCUUUUUCUUUUUUUCCCAAUUUUUUUCUUUUUUUUUUUCUUUUUUCUUUCUUUUUUUUUUUUUCCUGAGGGCAGUUAUUAUUACCACUACUAAUUUCUCCGGACUCGCAAUGUUGCGAUGAUCAUGGCCGCGCAAGUCGCAGCGGCUCCGGCGGGUACCAACAACAGCAAGGGCAAAGCCCCCAGCCUGCCCGGCGGCCUGGGCCCGGAGCGGGGCCCGGGGGCGACCGGGGCCGGGGCCUCCUCCUCCUCCGCCACCGCCACCGCCGCCGCCGCGGGGGCUCCCGGGCCGGGCCCCGGGCUGGGGGUCGGAGAGGGGAGUCCGGGCAGCGGCGGCGUGAAUAAUGUAGAUCACCAUCUCCUGCACCACCGCAGCGAGCCGCCGAACAUGGCCAAUAACGCGGCUCCCGCCGCUGCCGCCGGUAACAACAACAACAACAACGCCGCCGGCGGCGGCGGCUCCUCCUCGGAGCCGGCUCUGAAGGAAGGUGGAAGCUCCUCGGCGUUAUCUUCAUCUUCUUCUUCUUCCUCCUCCUCCUCCUCCUCCUCCAACCCGGGCUCGGCCAUGGAGACGGGGCUGCUCCCCAACCACAAGCUGAAGAGCGUCGGAGGCGAUCACCCCGCCGCGCCGCCCCACCACCACCACCACCACCACCAUGCCCACCACCCGCAUCACCAUGCCCACCACCAUGCCCACCACCCGCACCACCACCACCACCACCACCACCAUGCACUACAGCAGCAGCUAAAUCAAUUCCCGCCGCCGCCGCCGCAGCAGCCGCCGCCUCAGCACCAUCCCGUGCAGAAUAACAACAGCAGCCUCGGCGGCGGCGGCGGCGGCGGCAGCGGCAGCAACAACAACGGCGGUGGCGGUGGCGGCGCUGCUCAGCCCAGUGCAGACAUGGAGCAGCAGCAACAUGGAGGAAAAGACAGUGUUUUGGGCGCUCAGGCCGAGCCCCCCCCCCAGCAGCCGCAGCAAAUGCUGAAUAAAAGCGCCGACGAGGAGGAGAUGCCCGGCAAGAUGGGCGAGCCCAUCGGCGGCGGCCGCUACGAUCACCCCGGCUUGGGACCCCUGGGCGGACAGCAGCAGCCCCAGCAGCCGCCCCCGAGCGCUGGGAGCGGCGGCGGCCUCGGCGGCGGCGGGAGCGGGGGAGGCGGCGGCGGCCCCUCCGCGGUGGGUGUCUCGGAGUUCAAUAGCUAUUAUGGCAACGCUGCCCCUGCCCCUGCCAGCAGCGCUACGGCGAGCCGCGCCGGGCCUUGCUUUGAUCAACAUGGCGGACAACAAAGCCCCGGGAUGGGGAUAAUGCACCCCACGGCGGCCCCCAACAGCAUGGACCCCCUGCAAAACUCCCACGAAGGUUACCCCAACAGCCAGUACAACCACUACCCGGGCUACGGCCGCGGCCCCGGCGGCGGCGGCGGCGGCGGCGCGGGCGGCGGCNNNNNNNNNNNNNNNNNNNNNNNNNNNNNNNNNNNNNNNNNNNNNNNNNNNNNNNNNNNNNNNNNNNNNNNN